rnacentral:lncRNA from 1 species
CCAGCACAAAGUUAUAACACUUACGUUUACAUGGGAGCUUUAAUUCCUCUUUAAUUCAGAAUAAAAGUUAAAUCCUCUUUAAACUGACCUUGUAAACACUAAAUUCCUAAUGUAAAUAUAAUUCUGAAUUAAACACACAUAAUGGUCAGACAUUGAUAGGCUCUGGCUCCGCCCCUAGUGGACAAUUUCUGAAAUAAUUUAUAAACAAUAUCAUUGUAGUCAAACAAAUCUGACUUUUCACACCUAUGAACCAAGCAGCAGCCAUGUUGAAAGUCUCAGGUUAAUCUAAGCCUGAUCUGCAGAGAUAUUUGAGGAACACACAGACACACACAGACACACACAGACACACACAGACACAGAGAUUCCUUGCUUUAGAUAAAUGAUGAAAUUAAUUCCAUAAUAGUUUUCUAAACAAAGGGGGAGGGACUUAGAUUGAGAAAUAAUAUAAGGUGGUACUGGAGCCUAAAAGCUUUGAGAACCUAUAAUGAGCUGGUCUGGAUAGAUGAGACCUGUAUGAGUCAGUGGUGAGGAACCUGAACACACCACAGAGAUGAAAUACAGGAGAGUUGGUUGAUGAGUUCCUCCUCCCACAGAUACCAACCUGGGCCCCUCCCUCGUCCUGAACGCAGUUAUUCUACAGAGCACUCAGUGUCUGACUGACAGUGUCAGUGCUCUACUACAGACAGCAGACGCAAGAUGAGGAUUAUGGGUCCACCAAAAGGCGUUGUAGAGGAGCUUGGUUUGGAUUCACCAAACGGCCUUGUCUUCAUCGCUGCCUUACUCAUUGUUGGCAUCAUUCUGGUCGCCCUCUGCAUGGGACACAAGAGGAGCACGACUAAUGCCUAUGACGUGAGCGGAUCAAAGACUGAUGAGGGAGCCAAUGGGAGCAAUGCUACAAAGACGGCGGGAACAUCCAACACUGAUUAUUCGUGGAGGAGCCACAAUGAGAUGCCUCCGAAUUCCCUGAACAGGCCCAAAGCACAAACCCAUUGAACGGCCACGCCCCCUCAACAUUUAAUAAAAAACAAUAAAACCCAGGCUUCA